rnacentral:rRNA from 1 species
UCAAGAUUGAAAGCUGGCGUCUUCGGCGUCCGCAUUGUAAUCUCAAGAAGUGUUUUCCGCUUCGGACCAAGCCUAAGUCCCCUGGAAAGGGGCAUCAUAGAGGGUGAUAAUCCCGUACAUGGCUUGGAGCGCCCGAGGCUUUGUGAUACGCUUUCUAAGAGUCGAGUUGUUUGGGAAUGCAGCUCAAAAUGGGUGGUAAAUGCCAUCUAAGGCUAAAUAUUGGGGAGAGACCGAUAGCGAACAAGUACAGUGAUGGAAAGAUGAAAAGAACUUUGAAAAGAGAGUUAAACAGUACGUGAAAUUGCCAAAAGGGAAGGGUAGGAGGUCAGAGAUGCGGCCUGGGAUUCAGCCUUGCUUUUGCUUGGUGUUUUUCCCAGAUUGCAGGCCAACGUCGGUUUUGGGCACUGGAGAAGGGUAGGAGGAACGUGGCACCUCUCGGGGUGUGUUAUAGCCUCCUACUGGAUACAGCGACCGAGACCGAGGACAGCAGCGUACUCGCAAGAGCGGGCCUUCGGGCACCUUUACGCUUAGGGCGUUGGCAUAAUGGCCCUCUACCACCCGUCUUGA